ACCUGAGUGGCUCAGUCGGUUGAGCGUCCGACUUUAGCUCAGGUCAUGAUCUCACAGUUCGUGAGUUCAAGCCCCACAUCAGGCU
rnacentral:tRNA from 1 species